AUGGAGAGUGCUGAGACAUGUCAUGGUUCUCUCUUGAUUGUACCGGAGUAUUCCAGACCGGUUGACCACGAGCUAUGUUAAACGGAUCCAAAUCCGGGUCGGGUUGGCCCAUCUUCUUCUUCCUCUUCGAAAUACCUUCUUCUCUCCCUCGCCUGUAUCACCAAUUCAGAAGAAGUAAACUUUCCUGUGUUUUCUUUUGUUCAACUCUUAUCCUCGAAGAUGAAAGCAUUCGCUGUCCGAUUCUCCAAGCUUAUCAGAUUUUCUCCGACAUAUCUCCUUUAGAUUACCCUCUUUUUUUUUUCUUUUUUUUUAAGUGCAUUUCACACUCUGCAAUUAGAUUGUUCUUCAGCUCGUUUUGCGAGAAGGU